CCUACGGGUGUCAGCAGUGAGGAAUAUUGGUCAAUGGCCGUAAGGCUGAACCAGCCAAGUAGCGUGAGGGAAGACUGCCCUAUGGGUUGUAAACCUCUUUUAUGCGGGGAUAAAGGUGACGACGUGUGGUUGAUUGCCGGUACCGCACGAAUAAGGACCGGCUAAUGCCGUGCCAGCAGCCGCGGUAAUACGGAAGGUCCGGGCGUUAUCCGGAUUUAUUGGGUUUAAAGGGAGCGUAGGCCGGUCUCUAAGCGUGCCGUGAAAUUUUGUGGCUCAACCAUGAGAGUGCGGCGCGAAGUGGAGUCCUUGAGUGCGCGGAAGGCAGGCGGAAUUCGUGGUGUAGCGGUGAAAUGCUUAGAUAUCACGAAGAACCCCGAUUGCGAAGGCAGCCUGCCGCAGCGUUACUGACGGUGAAGCUCGAAAGCGCGGGUAUCGAACAGGAUUAGAUACCCUGGUAGUC
rnacentral:rRNA from 1 species